rnacentral:rRNA from 1 species
UACAGAGGGUGCAAGCGUUGUUCGGAAUUAUUGGGCGUAAAGGGUGCGUAGGCGGUUUGGUAAGUCUGAUGUGAAAUCUAUGGGCUCAACUCAUAGUCUGCAUCGGAAACUGCCGGGCUUGAGUGUGGGAGAGGUGAGUGGAAUUCCUGGUGUAGCGGUGAAGUGCGUAGAUAUCAGGAGGAACACCUGUGGCGAAAGCGGCUCACUGGACCAUAACUGACGCUGAUGCACGAAAGCUAGGGGGAGCAAACAGG